rnacentral:rRNA from 1 species
AGCGAACGCUGGCGGCAGGCUUAACACAUGCAAGUUGAACGGGCGUAGCAAUACGUCAGUGGCAGACGGGUGAGUAACGCGUGGGAACGUACCUUUUGGUUCGGAACAACACAGGGAAACUUGUGCUAAUACCGGAUAAGCCCUUACGGGGAAAGAUUUAUCGCCGAAAGAUCGGCCCGCGUCUGAUUAGCUAGUUGGUGAGGUAACGGCUCACCAAGGCGACGAUCAGUAGCUGGUCUGAGAGGAUGAUCAGCCACAUUGGGACUGAGACACGGCCCAAACUCCUACGGGAGGCAGCAGUGGGGAAUAUUGGACAAUGGGCGCAAGCCUGAUCCAGCCAUGCCGCGUGAGUGAUGAAGGCCCUAGGGUUGUAAAGCUCUUUUGUGCGGGAAGAUAAUGACGGUACCGCAAGAAUAAGCCCCGGCUAACUUCGUG